rnacentral:rRNA from 1 species
GUUCUCUGCUGGUUGCUUCGCCAUUUCCUGUCCCACCUUGUAUUCCUCCAGCUUGAUGCGACGCUCGUCGAGCUCCAGCUCCUUCUGCCGGAUCUUGACGUCCUCGUCGAUCUUGUGGGCCUCCAUCUUGCCCUUCUUCUCUUCGAUCUCGAGCUUCUUCAUGUCGGCCUGGUGGUCCAGCUCUUCCUUGCUUGGCGACUGCUCGACCACUGGAUCGCGGUCGGCAUUCUCGUCGGAUGGG